rnacentral:pre_miRNA from 12 species
UCUGUCCCUUGCACCCUGGGCGGGCGGCCGUUAAGACUUGCAGUGAUGUUUAACUCCUCUCCACGUGAACAUCACAGCAAGUCUGUGCUGCUUCCCGUCCCCACGCUGCCUGGGCAGGG